rnacentral:rRNA from 1 species
CACCGCGGUUAUACGAGAGGCCCAAGUUGACAGACACCGGCGUAAAGCGUGGUUAAGAUAAACUGGAACUAAAGCCGAACAUCUUCAGGGCAGUUAUACGCAUCCGAAGACACGAAGCCCCACCACGAAAGUGGCUUUAUUAUUACUGACCCCACGAAAGCUAUGGUA